GAUGAAGAACGUAGCGAAAUGCGAUAAGUAAUGUGAAUUGCAGAAUUCAGUGAAUCAUCGAAUCUUUGAACGCACAUUGCGCCCGCCAGUAUUCUGGCGGGCAUGCCUGUCCGAGCGUCAUUUCAACCCUCGGGCCCCCCUCUGCGGGCGGCCCGGCGUUGGGGCUCAGGCGCCGUCUCUGCUCGGCGCCUGUCCCCUAAAUGCAGUGGCGGCCUCGCCGCUGCCUCCUCCGCGUAGUAGCACAAACCUCGCGGCUGGAAGGCGGCGCGGCCACGCCGUAAAACCCCCCAACUUUACCAAGGUUGACCUCGGAUCAGGUUGGAAUACCCGCUGAACUUAAGCAUAUCAAUAAGCGGAGGA
rnacentral:misc_RNA from 1 species